rnacentral:rRNA from 1 species
UACGAAGGGGGCUAGCGUUGCUCGGAAUCACUGGGCGUAAAGGGUGCGUAGGCGGGUCUUUAAGUCAGGGGUGAAAUCCUGGAGCUCAACUCCAGAACUGCCUUUGAUACUGGAGCUUGAGUCCGGGAGAGGUGAGUGGAACUGCGAGUGUAGAGGUGAAAUUCGUAGAUAUUCGCAAGAACACCAGUGGCGAAGGCGGCUCACUGGCCCGGUACUGACGCUGAGGUGCGAAAGCGUGGGGAGCAAACAGG